rnacentral:lncRNA from 1 species
GGAUCGGGGAAGCUCAGAGCAAAUAUUUCUCCUGAGUUGUAAGGCAGCCAGUGAGAAGGCAAAGAAAUCUGGAGAAUAAAGUCAGGCAGGAAUGAAGUAGGCUGGUUGGAGCCUCUACUGAAAUGGAGAUUGGGAAGGAAAGUUGGCUAGUGAGUGAGGCACCAAUUGAAGUUAAAUAGUGUAAAUUAGACCAAGUAAACUGCUUUCUUUCUCCUGAGGGUAGAUUUGGUAGGUUGGUAAAGACAGACCAGGGAGCUUGUUAGAAUGCUUUUAACCAGAGUUCAGCAAAAGAUGAAGUCUAGGGCAAAGCUUAAAAUAAGGAACUUGGAAAGCCACAUCCUUCUCUGUUAGCAUUUGAAUGAUAGGAAACACCCAAGCUGGGUUCCAGAACCUAGCCCCCAAGCAUAGUUAGCUAAACUGUCUUUAUCAGAAGCCUAGACUCAAAUACUAGCUACUACACGCAGUUCUGAGACAGCAGCCACUGUAAUUCUGGGAUGGGGUGCUGCAUAGGAGUGGACAGGAUGUAUGGGUAUUUAAAACAAAACUGAGUCUCAUUUCAUGAAUUUCACGCUAGUGCUUGCAGAAGUUGGCUUCUGUAGUUCUUCGAGGGUACUUAAUAAAAGGCAGUGCCCUUGUGUUCAACAAAUAGGGACUUUGUAUUGGAUUUUGGGAAUCUAGGCCACAGCAGUAUUGGGAUUUGCCUUCUGGUUUCUCUUGCAGAUUAGUUGUGUCACUCUGCAUGUAUUUUCUACAAAGUUAAAACCCUAGAGGGCUAGUCUAUUCUGUCUUUCAUUUUUGGGAGGUGUGUGGGGGGAUGUCUCUGGGGAGAACCCUCUCUCCCCAAGUCAUCUUAUCUAUCUGCAAACAGAGAGACUAGAGUUAAUUGCUGUCAUCCGAGGGAGGAAAUGUGACACCAACAUCCUGCUGGAACUUUGGACUUUCCCCACUGAGCCUGGACCUAGAACCUUGGGAGAAAAAGGAGCUGGCAGUAAUUCUCACACACUGGAAUCCACAUCCUUCAGGAUAUAUGGGAGCCUCACUCUCCAAAACGUUCUUUCAAGGUAUAGUCUUUAUUCUUAUUGGCUGGCAACUUAAAAUUGGCUACUUUAGAACUGAUUUGAUUAGGAAAUUAGAAAUGAAGGGUAAAAAAUAUCUCUCAUGGUAGAUACUCAGUAAGUAACCUAUUGAAUACAAGGAGCAAAGUGGUCACUUUCAUAGGAGCUACAUAGAGCUACAUGGACUUUAGAUGGUCAUUUGGUCCAAACCCCUUAUUUUGAAGACGAGGAAACAGUGGUCCAAAGAGUGGAAAUGACAGCAGAUAUCAGACGAAUCAAUCCAAA